AGAACGUCAUCCCCUUUCGGUGUUUUCGUCGGGCUGCGGAGUCGACAGCAACACGUCAUCUUUGUGCUUAGUGCGCGCUAGCGUCUGCCUGCUGCAUCGCUUCUGCACGCCAUCGCCACCGCCUGUCAUUUAUUGAUUGUGCCUGCGUGUUUGCUCGUGUAUCUCGCUCACGAAUGCUUCAUCUUGAUCAUCGCUUCCCUUUGUACAAGGAAAAACGCUUCACGACUCCACUCGCCACCCCACACGCCGGUGCAUUCACUUUCUUACCCCUCCCCCAAUGCUUUACUGUAAUCCUCCGGCCUGACUUACGUUGCUCGACCUCGCCUUCUUACCUCUCUGUCUCUCUCUCAUCGCUCAAACUGCACUCGCCUCAGGCCGCGCCGCUGUCAGCAGAGGAAUUCGAAAAAGAAACAAGGACAGAGGAGGGAUUUGCGCGAAGGCGCGAACGCUAACUUUCGGUGGAGCAGCUCGAGCUUCGUCGAACUCGUAUGCGCUUUUAUCUUGCACUGUAGACUGCGUGUCGCCUCUCCUCCUCUCGCUGCCGGCGUUCUUUUUUUUUUCUGUGCAUUUGUGCUACUCAUCCGCCUCUUUCACGUGUUUUGUCUCAGUGUUGCGGCUGGGCUUGAAGUGUUUCUCACCUUUCCCGUUGUGUUCGUUUGGCGCUGCGGUGAUGGGCUACUGCUCUGCCUCGCUUACGUUUUUGUUUUCGUGCCGUUUAAGCCUCUCACGCACUCGUACUCCGUGCGCAGGUCUGAUUGAUGCCCCUGUCCGAUCCUUGCCCGCUGUUAUUUCUGACUAAUACGAACACAAAAACCCAGCCAAACUACGCACAGGCAGCAGGCGGUGACUUGACCCUCUUCUCUACACACAUCCUUUGUCCUCCGCUGCCGUUACUCCUUUUGCGAUUGUGCGCGCUUCGACCGAGAAGCGAACAUGAGCGCGAAAAACCGCACUCCAGCUGAGAUUCAGAGGAGUUUCGUGCAGCAUGUGCAGAACAUUUCCGCCCACAACCGUGGCAUCAGCGACGAGCUGGCCCUCAUGUCACAGGGCCUGCGAGAUGGCAUACAAAGCAACACCGGCCCCACGACGGAUCUGCUCGCUGCCGCAAGUGAGCUGAGCCGCUUCGCGAUGAGGGCGUGCACGAACCUGUCCAGCUGUCUGGAGGAUCUGGUCAACAUGGGCGAGGCUAUGGCGCCUGUGCUGGCCGCCAAUCCGGAGGCGGCGGAGCCACUGCUGUUGAACUUUUUCAGCACCUUCGUGACACAGAUGGGCGCAUUCUACAAUGAGAUUGAUGCAUGGUGGGGCAAGGGCUGCGAGAGCUUGGGCCGCGGCAAGGCAGCGUUCUUCAGAGAAUCGUCAGUCUCUAACACCGCACUGGCGACCAGGGAGCCAACCGCCUCCACGGCCCCGACGGGCGCGAUGCCGACAGCAGACAGAGAGCGUGAGGUGUCCGAAACGGCGGCCGUAUCGACUGUGCAUGCAGGGCGCCGCAGGAAUCACCAGCUGCUCGAGGAUGACGUAGCGGACGGAGAGCCACCGCCGCCGCACGACUGUUACAGCGAAUCAACGCCUGGCGGUGCCGCUCCCAAGAAGGGACGAAAGAAGAAGGCUACCACUGCCGCCGAAGCAGAGGCAUCCGCGACGGCGGCGACGACGCCGACCACGAAGCGGACACAGAACUUUGAUCCGUUGCCGAAUAGUCAGUCUAGCCGCGGCAGUGCCGAAGACACGAUGGCCGGCUUGGCGGCGGCGGCGGAGUCAGGUGCUCAGACAGCCUUGCCACAACGGCCUGAGAAGAGCAGCUCACGCUCCGUUCUCCCCGUCGCCGACGAACUGGCGGAGCUGACGCCGGAGGACCUGAAUGCCUUGGCGCAGUCUGAACCAUCUUACCUGUUCCUCACCUCCACCCUGGAGGAUGCACUUGGGGCGGUCGUCAUGGCCUCCCGCCCCAACGUCUUUAGUAACCUGGCCAGCUUCACCUAUAAUGAGCCCGUUUCCACGUAUUACAUCCGCCUUAUCCGCCCCGGCAGCUUGGCGUACUUUGUCUACUGCAACUACAUUCUCGGCAGCGCGGACACGCAGGCCGACUUCCUGUGUGACGUGCUGGAGACCGACUGCGCUGAGGUGGACCCAUUCACGUCUCCCGCCGGCGAGGUGAUCGUUGAAGACGCAGCGGAUCUCUCCAGCCUGCCGGCGUGCGCGUGGGCUAUCGGCAGCAGCGAGGACAACGAGCGCCGCCUGUACACAAUGUACGCGCUCAUCGAGCAGCCGCCGCGAGUCGGCCCGACCGCCAUCAUACAAGACUCGCUGAAUAUGGGUGCUGCGCGGGAUGAGGUUCUGCACAUGGUGACGCUGGUGGACGGCGCACCCGAGUUUGCGCGAGUGACGUGCAUGGUGUACUCUGAGAUGCGCACUGCAGAGAUACCGACCCAGAAGCAAGCGGCCAUCCUCAGCUUCUCGCGCAGCGGGUUCGCGCAUACCGGCUUUGUCGAGGUCCCCGACUCGGAAGUCGAGGCGGCGGUGUCACGCAUGAGGCGCAAAAAACAGAAUGCGGCGGGCUAUAAGACGGUGCUCUUUUCGAAGCAGGAGCUGGAUGCCACGACGACGUUUCAACCACCAGUCCAGCUCGCCUCGCUCAAUCAGCCCGCUGGCGACGCAGGAAUAUCACUUGGCGGUGUUGCGCGUGGGGCCGUGCAAGGCGGCUUCGAAGUGCUGAAGGCGCCCUUCACGGUGGGCCGCGCAGUCGGCGGCGCCCUGCUCGACGCCACUGGUGUCACCGGCGCGGUGCGCAACAACAUCGAGGGCGUCUUUCGCAAGUCGUUUCCGGACUUAGCUGGCGAGACGCUCUUGGAUUCCUUCAACUGCGCCUGGGUCGAAGGGUCCGCGCUGAAGCAAGGCUACUUGUUCAUCACGCCGCACUGGCUGUGCUUUCAGAGCACCUUGGCCGCCGCGCACUUUUCCAUCGAAUACGACGAGAUCAAAGAUAUUAUCAAGUCAAAGUCGGUGAAGAUGUUUGAGAAUGCGAUCGAGGUGAAGACGCACCUGAAUGACACGAUCUUCCUCACAAACUUUCUGCAGCGGGAUCAAGCGUAUAGCGCUCUGAUGAGUCAGUGGCUGAAGCAGUAAGGGAAAGGAAGUGGGGAGGAAAACGCCGUGCGAGGUUGAACCCGAGUGGGCUCUCGGAUAGGUCCCCAAAGACGGUCUUUUGUUAAUUGGUAUGGGGAUGCAGCUCUGCGCCGCAGCCACAGCUUGUCUUGCCUUUCCCAACGCGUUCAGCUGUGUGCCAUGUCUGCGCAUGCUCAUCUUUUCCGCCAUUAUUCAUGCGUUCUUUCGAGUCUGUAUCUGCGUGUAUACGGCUUAGUUUGAUGCCGACACGCAAGUCUGCCGUACUUCAUGCGAUGCUACAACCAUCGCCGCUGCAAGUUGCUCAAAGCACUGUGUGAGCCGCGCCCCCUACUCUUCUACUUCUCCAGCUCCCACACCGAACUUGUGCAACGCGGCGCCGCUGUGAUGAUGGGGAUGGGACGAGAGGGGGUGUGCACGUAAGCGUUGCAGACGUAGAUACCUGUAUGUGUCUGUGUAUGUGUGUAUGCCUGCUCAUAUCGGAUCAAG
rnacentral:misc_RNA from 1 species